rnacentral:tRNA from 1 species
AGAGGGUAGUUUAAUUAAGAAUGCUAGCUUUGGGGGCUAGCGGUGGGAGUUAAAAUCUCUUCUCUCUGAG